UAGGGAAUCUUCCGCAAUGGGCGAAAGCCUGACGGAGCAACGCCGCGUGAGUGAUGAAGGUCUUCGGAUCGUAAAACUCUGUUAUCAGGGAAGAACAAAUGUGUAAGUAACUGUGCACAUCUUGACGGUACCUGAUCAGAAAGCCACGGCUAACUACGUGCCAGCAGCCGCGGUAAUACGUAGGUGGCAAGCGUUAUCCGGAAUUAUUGGGCGUAAAGCGCGCGUAGGCGGUUUUUUAAGUCUGAUGUGAAAGCCCACGGCUCAACCGUGGAGGGUCAUUGGAAACUGGAAAACUUGAGUGCAGAAGAGGAAAGUGGAAUUCCAUGUGUAGCGGUGAAAUGCGCAGAGAUAUGGAGGAACACCAGUGGCGAAGGCGACUUUCUGGUCUGUAACUGACGCUGAUGUGCGAAAGCGUGGGGAUCAAACAGGAUUAGAUACCCUGGUAGUCCACGCCGUAAACGAUGAGUGCUAAGUGUUAGGGGGUUUCCGCCCCUUAGUGCUGCAGCUAACGCAUUAAGCACUCCGCCUGGGGAGUACGACCGCAAGGUUG
rnacentral:rRNA from 1 species